rnacentral:rRNA from 1 species
CACGUAGGGGGCAAGCGUUGUCCGGAUUUAUUGGGCGUAAAGAGCUCGUAGGCGGCUUAGUAAGUCGGGUGUGAAACCUCCAGGCUCAACCUGGAGACGCCACCCGAUACUGCUGUGGCUAGAGUCCGGUAGGGGAGCGUGGAAUUCCUGGUGUAGCGGUGAAAUGCGCAGAUAUCAGGAAGAACACCCGUGGCGAAGGCGGCUUUCUGGGCCUACCCUGACGCUGAGGAGCGAAGGCGUGGGGAGCGAACGGG